rnacentral:lncRNA from 1 species
UCACGGUUGAAGAAAGGGAAGGCAAAGAUUCAAUCAACUCAAACCUAAGGCACCCUUUCAACCUAGUCUAAGCUAGUUGCGUGGUUUAGUCAAAAUUUUCUUAAUUUAACCCUUAAUUUAUCACAUUUGAAUGUUUUCUACAUGGAUGCAAAUCUAAAUUCAUAAAAACAUCGAAAGGAACAAAUGUUCAUUCAAGGGUUUAAUUGAACCAAUCGCAUUAAUUGCAAAGGCCAAAAUAAUUCCUUGAAGGUGUCACGAGUAUGCAAAUGAUUAAAUUAAAAGUAAAGAAAAGAAAUUAAAUUAUAUACAUAGUUAUAAGUGAUCAAAGAAAAAGGAAAUGCAGCAUAAUGGGUACGGGAGACAAAAACUCGUGACAUAAUUUUCUUAUACAAGGAUUAAUGGGAUAUUUAAACUAAAGAGUUAUAAUCACCCAUAUCCAUGUUCAAAAAUAAUUCUCCUAAUAUGAACAAGCAAAUGAACUAACUUAUUUCACAAUUUCUUAAAUGAAGUGCAAUUCUAAAUGAUUUGAUUAACACAUAUAGAGGGUAGGGGGUAGAGGAUAAUAUAAUAGAAAAUAUCAUGCAAAUGAGAAAAUUCUAAAAAAUAAAAUAUACAUGGAAAUGUAAUGGAUAUCACACAAAAGAUGAAUCUAAUGCAUGAACAAUCUAAGGGUAUAGCGUUGGACUAACCCAUUUCUAAAAAUACUUACUAGCGUUGGACUAGCAAGUAAGCGGAGGGAGAAGCCACAACUAGCGUUGGACUAGUGUGGUGACGUUAUGCAUUAACAAUAUAUAGUGAAGCAAAUAAAGCAUAAAUUAAAACAAAUAAACACAUAAGAGCACGUAACACAUAACACGUAAGCAUAAUAUCUAUAUGCCAAAGUCCUAAGAAAAGCGGAUAAAACACAUAACACAUAAGCCACAUAAACACACAACUUAUCUAUUACAUCGGGGAGCGCCUGACUACAAUCUAGGAGGGAAAAAUAU